rnacentral:rRNA from 1 species
UACGUAGGGUGCGAGCGUUGUCCGGAAUUAUUGGGCGUAAAGAGCUCGUAGGCGGUGUGUCGCGUCGGCCGUGAAAACCUGGGGCUCAACUCUGGGCGUGCGGUCGAUACGGGCAUCACUUGAGUUCGGCAGGGGAGACUGGAAUUCCUGGUGUAGCGGUGAAAUGCGCAGAUAUCAGGAGGAACACCGGUGGCGAAGGCGGGGUCUCU